GGGGGCGUGGGGUAGUUUGGUCUAGCCUGAGGGCUUCGGGAGCCCUUGACGCCUUAUAGGCGGGGGAAACCCGGGUUCAAAUCCCGGCGCCCCCA
rnacentral:tRNA from 1 species